GACGAACGCUGGCGGCGUGCCUAAUACAUGCAAGUCGAGCGGACAGACCAUGCGCUUGCUCCUCUGUCGUUAGCGGCGCGCGGGUGAGUAACACGUGGAUCACCUCCUUGUCAUACUGAUAUAUCUUCGAGACUCGGGCUCAUAUACCAUAUAAUCUCUUGCACCACAUUGUUGAAUGGUGAAAUUCGGUUUUGCUGGCUCUUCUCGCUGCAUCCGAGCCGCAUGAGCUAGUUGUUAAGGUUACGGCCUACCAAGGCAACGAUGCGUAGCCGAACUGCGAGGGUGAUCGGCGACACUAGAAGUGAGACACGGCCCAGACUCCUACGGGAGGCAGCAGUAGGGAAUCUGACGCAAAGGGCGAGAGUCUGACGGAGCAACGCCGAGUGAGUGAUGACGGUCUUCGGAGCGGAAAAAUCUGUUUUGAGUGAAGAACAAAUGUGUAAGUAACUAAGCACGUCUUGACGGUAACGAAUCAGAAAGCAACGGCUAACUACGUG
rnacentral:rRNA from 1 species